GUUUCACUAAAAAGCAAGGACUUCAACAGAUUUUUCAUUGUGUUGAGACAUUGUCAAUGUAAGUUUUUUUCCUUAUUCCAGUCAGUCCAUUUCAUUCGAUAAUAGAAUAGUACUGUGUUUUGCAACAGUAUAAUGCCACAGAGGGAGGACAUGCUAUCUGGAGUUCAGGCUUGAGCCCUGACACAUCAAUAUACACAAAGGUAUGAUUUGUCAUAGGUCAUGUUAUCUACAGUAGUGUAAUAACUACCAAGGCUUAGCAAUACUGCUUGUGUGACUGCAGAAAUCUUAGCAGGACACACCCAUUUGAUAUAGUCUUUGGUGGACUGUAUUUCAUUCUAGAAAAUCACAGCUGACAAAAGUAAUCCAAGCAGGUGAGGUUAAAAUGAGCUCAGAUGUCCCCAACAUUGUUAUGAUGUACCUUGACUUGGCAGAGGAAUGGCAUAAAUACCCCCAGAUUAACGGAUAUGUGAGAGUGUCUUUGUUGGCUAAAAAGGUGCAAAAUGGCUCUGCAGAGCUUGAGCAAUAGGUAGGUGAUUAGUAUCACAUUUGUAUCACAUUUAUAUAUAACAUGAAAAUGUGUUUCAUGUAAAUGUCAUGAGAUUCCAUUUUAUUUAACUGAUUAAUCUCAGAGUGCUAUCUAAGAAUGUCUCAGGAAAAGAGAGUUACAGUAUCAUAAGCUUUAAUUACAAACCUCAAUUAGGACGCUUCUGGGCCAGUGUCUGCUUCCUUUCUCUGCAUGAAAACAAAGGUUUUCGUUAUGUUUUCCACUUUUUGUAACAGUAUUCAAGUGGAACUGGAGCUUGGAACAGCUAACAAGAAUAAGAGCUCAUUGACAAAUAACAUAAACAUGGUGCAACUUUCUCAAUUAGUCAAAUCCUAAAAUCAGAGUUUGUAACAUUCUCUAGCCUGUUUUGGCUUUAUUCUUUUUUUUUUUUUUUUUUUUUUUUAAUCGUAAAAGCAAAGUCACUGCCAAAAUAUGCAUGUCAUUCAGAGGAAUGGAUUGUUGAUAAAAACAGUGAUAAAGCUUGGUCCUGCUACUGGCAAUGGCAGAAAUUCUGUUGACUUCAGUGGGGUCAGGGCUUGCCUCUCAUGACUACAGGCAACACAGGGAGAAAAGGCAGCUGAAAGCUAUUUUUGCAUUUUGCAGUCCUUGGGAUGCUUUAUAUCCCUUUUUAAUGCAAAGUUGCCUGAAAGAGGAUCAUGUUAAGUGCCAAGAACUGCCCCAGUGUCUGCUUGGAAACAGUUUCUGGUCUCUGAAUAAAUGAUUAGUUGCAAAUAGUGCAGUCGUAUCUAUAGUCUUUAUCACCCUUGUUUCCAUCAUGUGUAGGUUUCUCUGUUUCUUUUCUACAGCGAAGGAGCUAAACUGACAGCCUUAUAUAUGAUUCGUGCUAGAUAAAAAUAUAUUAGAAUUCACAAUGUGGUUAUUAUCAUUUGGGAUAUUAUGUGUCUGCAUAAGUCAUUGUAUAAAGGAUUAAAAGCCUAAAAAAUGUUAAUAAUAAAGCCCCCAGAUCUAAUAACUUUAGAGAUUAAAAUUAAUUGAAUUAGUCUUUGAUCUUGGUUGUUAUGUUUUAAAAGUUCAGUAGGCACUUGCCAUUCUCUUUUCAAAGAACCAGCCAUUGCUAAGCAUGGGAUUGGAAUGCAUCUGUACAGUCACUUCUUGACAAAAAAUAGAAAUCAAAACCAAAGAUGAACAGAAUUUUUCCAUCCUGUUUUGUGUCAAAGCAAUCAGAGCUGAAGUGAUGGUUGCUCAGAUUUUAUCAAUCUUUUAGCUUUUAAUUUGAAUUUGAGGAAUGUUUACUGAAAUAUCUUUGCUAGCUGAUGACGUGGCAGUAGUUAAAAAUGGUGAAGCUUUAGUAUAUGGCUGUCUGAACACUAUUAUUACAGGGGUUAGAGUAACACCUAAAUUAUUCAAUAUCCAUCUGAACCAAUUAAUAUUAGCUGAUGUACACUCAUUCAAAUUGCUCUGUUGUCAUAAGCUUCAGGCAGGUAGAGAGAUCAGAACCAUUUAUUCAAGAUUAUUAGUUUUAUGUCAAAUCUGUAAAGCUUAUUUUAUUUCACAUUAUUCCAUCAUCCUAUUUGUGUCUGAUGCAAAUGCCCUUGAUUUUCUUUUUCAGUUCCAGAGUUGUGUAAGUAAGGCGUUAUGCUACUAUAAAAAUCCUGGCAUGAUAGUCAAAGUCGGCUCUAUCUCCUGCUACUUUCCUUACUGUAUCAGAAGUGGUAAACAUGUAUCUUCUCAGCUGCCUGUUUUGCUACAAGUCAUGUUUUUACAGAUAACUUUGUCUUUAUAUUUGUGUUGCUUUUUAUUAUUCAGAAAAGCUGUAAAAACUCAGUCAUUGCUGAGCAGAUAUAGUGAAUCCCAAACAUAAAUAUUUCUUCCUGUCAGGUGGUAUAUUUUAUCUGAAGUGGUUUACAAUUAUGCGGAAAGUUAAAAAACAGAAAUGAAAGGAAAGGUAAAAGAAAGGCAGAAACAAAACAAAGCUACAGGAAAUGAAUAUUUAGGACAUAGUCUUGGAUAUUUGUGGCUGUCCAAGAUGUGCUACGCUACCUGACAGUAUCUUAGCAACUUUGAAAACCUAUUAAAGCAUCUUUAAUUAUAUCCCUUACUAUUCAUGUUUACCUGCAGUGCAUCUCCAAGCAUGUCUUUGCAUUUGUAUGUGCCUGUAUGUGACGGUGGAAUUUACUGAAUUCCUGCAUUAUGUUUGCUGUGAUAAUUAGUAAAGCACAGUGAGUAUUUCAGAAUGAAUAGUUAAUCCCCUUAAUUUAUGCUGUUAAGUAAUAUACAAACAAGAUUGAACAACUUUUUUUUUUUUUUUCCCCCACUUUAAAUUAUGGAUCAGUUGGAACUGUCUCUGUGGAACAUCAAUUUCUUAGUCUGUGGAGCUGUGAUCUUUACUUUUGUUUCUUCAGAUGAAUAGUAUGACAGCAGUUUAGUUCAUUGUUUUUAAUACCUAUCUAUUUAUCAGGUUAAAUAUUUUGCUAAAAAUAGGCAAAUUUGAGGUAUGCUUCAAUAAGUGGUUGAAACAAAGCUUUCUAGUAGCAAAGAACUAUGUCCUCUCAUCAAGAAAGAACUUAAUAUUUGCUGUAGUCAAAUCUAUACAGUAACUAAUUUAUUCUCUCUUCUUUUAUUUCCCAGUUUUCUCUGCUCCCUAAAUGUUAAGGUGCUCUCCGGCUUCAUAUAACUGUAGAACACAGCCUGCUCCCUGGAUGGGAAGUGCAGCUUCUGGGAAGAUAGGGGAGUGCCAUAGAGGUAUUCCUUUGGGUUGCAUACUGGAGUGUGAAUUCUUCCUGUGACUAUUAGCCACUGAAACAUAGUCUUUUGCUAUCUUCCUGGGAGAAGAAGAAGAAAAAAAUAUCCUGUAAAAUUGGAGGUCCUGACUCCCUUUGAUCAUAGCUGAUAGAGGCACCCUUUGCUCUUGAUCCUGUUGAAUCAAUACCAGUUAGACUGAAACCCAAAAAUCAAAAUGAUCCUCUUCUGUUUUUAAAAAAGCUGUGGAAAGGACAAGAGUUCUGUCUGGGGAAGGAUUGAGUUAUCAGCGUAUGUCUUCAUGCCAGAUCUCACACCAUGCUCCAUGUCUAAAUUAUCUGAGCAUCUUCCAGCAUUCAAUGCAGGACCUUCAAGUGUGGAGCUUUGUCAGCCCAGAGCUGUGGUGGUAACACCAGUUUGUAGCUGCUGGCAAGUGGUCAAAGAAGGGCUGGUUCCCCUGCCCAGGGAGCACAGCAGAACAGGACGGAUAAGCCGCUUGGUACCAGCUGCAGCUUCUUUUAAGGCUGGUGUAUAAAACCCCAGAUAUGUUGUUUUGGACUGAAGAAAUCUAAGGAUAAUUAAAUUCUAAACAAUGAAGAAAUUAUAAAUUGCAUAUACUAAAAUGGUCAGGAGUUGGGAAAAUCUGUAUUGUGUAAUGAAAUAGAGAUAGUUUAAAUAAAUCUAAACUCACACAAACACAUGAGGUGUCUGUGUGUUCAUAUAUAUAUAUAUAUAUAUAUAUAUAUAUAUAUAUAUAUAUAUGUAUACAUAACAGUCCAAGCUACACGGCUACUGUCAGUAUCAAGAAAUCCUCAAUUUUUUGGUGGUGGUUUGGUGGUUUGCAAACAGAUGUUCUCCACUGAAGGAAGCACAUGGUGCUGUCAAGUAUGUCUUUCUGACAACUCACAUUACCCAUGUCUUGCUUCGAUUUACCAGCAAGAUACUGGGCUAGCUGGUGGUACUUCAUAUGGUGUGAAAGAUAAAUAGAACUGACUGCUACCUCCAUAUGGUUGGGAUUUGACUUCAAGAAAUCUCUCAAGUGCAAAUAGAAUUUCUUUAGGACAGAGAAGCAGCAUAAACUUGUGUGAAAACAUAAACUUAUAAAAUUGAAUACUCUGUCCUCCAAAAUAUUUUCCGUGAAUAAAUGACUUAUUUUUUACACAGGUGGUAACGUUCGGAUGACUUUUGCCAAAACCUGAUUGUGUUUGUAGGGUUGUAUGACCUCUAACUGAAGUUGAUUCAUUAGUACCAUUAUCUGUUCAUAUCAAGGCCUAAUCUGUGACUGGAAAAGACGUAGGAGCUUGGCAGAGAGUACAUUCUCCUAUGUGAUUCUUACCGUGGUCAUGGAAAGAAGAUGCAAAGGAGUUUAAUAACUAGCAGGUCCGUUACAUCAGAAAACAGUUUCUUAAAAAUAUGUUCUAUAUUAUAAAUGUUUUUAUGAAUGGUACAAGACUGAUGUAUUUCCUAUAAUAUUUGCUGUUCCAUAGUAUUUUGUAUACUGCUGACAUUGCAUAAAAUACCACAUCCACGAAUACCCAGUUGCUGCAGAAGAACUGGAAUUAAAUAAGCACUAUAAGAGUGAAACAUGAAAAAAUAGCAUAUUGACAUUUCAGUGUGUACUUUAAUUGUACUGAAUCAUUUACUAAAUCAAAGACUGCUGAGUAAAUUCAUCACUUCACUAGAAGUUUGCUAUUAUAGGAAAAUGUCACUUAAAUGGAAAAAUUGAGAAGUUCACCCAUAAAGAUAGUUUUUGUAUCAGUCAACCAGGACUGAUAUAUUCACCAACAAAGAGAAUUUAAAAUCCUCUUGUUACAAUUUGUGAAUGUACUACUGUGUUUUGUUAAUGAUUCUAAAGCUAUAGAGUAUUGGGGAAAUAAAACUUUCAUUUUUGUUGCAAGAAGCCUUUUCGAAACAGGGUUCUUCAGCUGUCAUGAUGAUUUCUCUUCUUCAGACUUAAUUAUUUAUUUUGUAUUAUGAUGCAGCUUUGGAAAUGUUGAUGUCAGCUGUAGAACUGAAAAAUUUUGCAUGAGCCAUUUUCUCCACAUUUUUUAUAUGUUAAUUUUAUUCUCUGAACUUUUACUGAGUUAAAUAAAGCAAAUGUUAUUUCUUAUCUUUAUUCUUUUUUUCUUCUAGAAGGGCAUGAUUAUAGAUUAUUAAUGAAGCCAAAGACAAGCAGACCUCUCGAAGUUUUGCUUAGUAUUUGAUCUUCUAACAUAUAUAGCAACACUUUUCAAUCACUCGCUGAUUGUAAUUCUUCUGAAAGUUCCAAUGUAACCCAAAAAUCAAUAUUAACAGAUGUUGUUUGCUUAAGUCUGAACGUGUUCCAGAAAAAUGCUCGUCAAAUGUAUCCCAUCUAUGGUUUCAUAAAGUUUCAGAUUCACAGAAUCAAUAUCAGCAGAUGUUCACUACUUUUAUUUUAUUUUUUUUCCCAAGGCAUUGCAGAAGUGCUUCUUCCAGCAUAAUUUUGAAAGAAAAUUGAAACCACCGAGUGUAUGACAGCUUUCACUGUUGCCAAAGAAUAUGUUCUUGUCAACUCCUUGGAAAAUAUGCUGUCGUCUUCUAUUAUCAUUAGAGACCAAUAAUUAAACAGAAAGAGAUGUUUCUAAUUAGUGUUUGGUGAAUGAUUGUCUAAAUCAAUCCGUAGUGUAGUUAGUACAUGUUAAAUUCUAUAUUAGGGCUAGAUGAGCAUUUCUUUAUCUACUGAGAAAGCUAAUGCGGAAAGGAAGUAUUAGAGAGGUAGUUAGGGGUAAGGUAAGAAAAGACUCACUUCGUUAUGCAUUGGGUUUUUUGUUUUUUUUUUUUUUUUUAACAGUAGGUUCCAGAGGUAAACUUGGCUCACAUCAUACAUUUUACAGUUUACUGUUUGUUUUAAAGGCCUGACAUGAAAUCUAUAAUUUCUGCAUAGAAUAUUAUAAUGCCUUUGUUUUAGAGAGUGUGUCAGAAUAUUGCUGCCAGCAGAAAAUAAAAUAAAAAUAAUAACAACAAAAAAAAAAAAAUCGAAGGAAACAAACUCACAAUCCUUUUUAUUGGGCAGUUUGGAGGAAGGAGUUCUUAGCUGUUUUACCCUCUUUUAGUACAUUAAAAAUAUAGUGGUAGAAACUUUGAAGCUGGCCUGUGCAGUGAAUCUAGGGAGGUUUGGGAUUGGUGGGUGGGGUGUUUUUUUGGGUUAAAAUAAAGUAUGUGUACUUCAGUUAUAUGAAUGUGCAUGUGCCUUUCUGUGCAUGUGUGUAAUAAUUUCUGAAAAUUUUACACUGCAAUUAGACAGUUUCCCUGAAACGACAACAUGCAUCUACUGCAAGUUCAGGAAAAGUGAUCAGCACUGAUUAUAAAAUAUAUUCAUUAUUACUGAAUAUUUUUGUUGCCUAUCAUAAUCUUUAUGUGUAUAUUAAAUAUGCCUCAUUCACAGUACUAUAUUAAAAUGACAAUGGCUUUUCAUGAUAAGUAGGAGUAUAAUAAUACUUUGAUAAAUUACAGCAAGAUAAAGCCUGCAGACAGAUCUGCUUUAAUAUGAUUGUCUCUUGUCAGUAAGUUUUCUAUAAAUUGCACCAUUUCAGUAGGAAUAGCAGUUGGUUGGUGGAAUUAUACAUGCAACAUCUCCAAGCUGAUCACAGGUUCUUGUAUAUCAUGGUUACAAAAAACGUGGAGGGUUUUUUUUUCUGUGAAUUUAAACCAUUGGUAUGUUUAUUCUGUACAUCUGGGAUUAUUCUGUGUGAACUCUGAGCUAAAAGAUAACUGUGCAACUGUGUUAGCACAGCAGCGAGUCUACACAAAUAAAGCUGCCUCUCAGCAGGGUUUAUUAAUGUAGGCAUCACAUCAUGCUACUGCAGUUAUAUAGCUUUUUUUUGUUUUUAGGCUCAGAGGGUAGGCAGAGUGCUCUUACAUCUGCCUGCAAUACAUACCAUAAACAUAUGCCAGGAGACUUGGCCCUGAGUUGUAUUUAUUUUAACAAAAUUGUGGCAGUUAUGAUGCCUGUUUAUUAUAUUCAGAUUUGGCAUUCAUCAUGAAGGAGCCAAUGUUCAUAAAUUAAAUGUGGUUUUUGUUGCAUGGAGUAUAAGAACAAACUGUACAGUUUUGCAGUAGUAACUUUUUCUUUGGUCCCUCUUAUGUAUUUACAUCUGUGGCAGCUCCAGAGUGAUUGCAGGUUCUAGGAUAUGAUGUGUUUUAAUUUCAUUGUGUCCUGUAGGAUAGAAUAAAAAGAGAAAAUAUAAAAGCCUUUCACAUUUCCUCAGUAGACCUCAACUUGAAUAUUGGAUUAUUGAUUAUAAAGUUUUGGUAUUUCUAGGACACUGAUCAGUGAUUUAUUAAUUUAUUUUUCCUUAUAGUUCAUUUCCAUAAGGAACAGUAUAAUUUUUAGAAUAUACAUACUUGCAAAUACUAAGAGUGGAAGUGCAGGAUGUGAAGAAGCAUAAGAGUAUUGCUACUCUUAGGACGUAUUUGGUUUUUCUGUUUCAAAAAAAAAUCAAAAGAAAAUUUACUCUCAUUUCAUUUUUUAAACAUGAAAUUUAGAAGUGAAGAAUUUUCUGUGAAAAAAAAAAAAAAAAAAAUCUGCAAAGAAAACAUACCUGAUGUGAGUUGUAACCACAAAUCAGUGCCCUGCAUCUGAUGGCUCAACAUCUCCAUACUAUGGGGUUCAUGACUAUGCUUAGUCCCCUCCCAGCAUAGCCUUAGUAAAACCAUACGGGCAAUUCCUUAUGGUGAAAUAGGCUUUUCUGAAACAAAAGGGAGCCACAAAACCUUGUGCUGUUGUUCUUAAUUUAAUUUCUACUGGUUUGGAGAAUAGCAGUGUAUAACUCCAGAACUUCUCUCCUUUCAGGUCGUAGGAGGAAAGCCCUCUCCAUUCGUGUAAGGAAAGCUCCAUACCCUUCUCCCACCAUAACUGUCUAUCGUGGUAGUAAAAGAAAUGAAUUUGGAAUCAGUAAUACUUGAGUGAACUUUUGCAGGUGCAUCUGUGGCCAAGUGGAGGAAUUUUCAUUACAUACUUACUCAAAUAUUAAAAUAGGAAUUUUUUUUUUUAAACAUAAAGUAAAUGAUUUCACAAGAUAGCACCUUUGAGCAGUCAGUCCCUAUUAAACAUUUAGGAAACAAGAGAUGUUUCAUAUCUAUUAUUAAAAUAAGUGUCAUCACACAAGGGGAGUUUUAACAGGCUGGUAAUCUGUGACAGAGACAAUGCCAUCCUGUUUUCAGCCAUGAACCUGAAAAAUAAUCAUUAGUUUCAGCUGAUGAGUGACUGCACCACACGUGAUUUUAAGAAAUAGGGUAAAAGGUUAUUGAAAAGAGUAUAUAAAGUAUAUACCACACUGUUAAAAAGUAGUAAUGUUAGGAUUAGCUAUGCAUGUAGAGAAUUUUUGAACCGAAUUUUAGUUUUCUAAGUUUAGCAAAAUUUAUUUGUUCAGAUUUUACCGACUAACUAACAUAAAUUGAUUAUUUGUUUCCACAUUCAAGCACUUAUUACAGUUCUUCUCACAGUCACCUCUGGAAUCUCUGUCUUUGCAGGGUUUUUCAACCAGUCUUAAAUUUUGCAGUGCUGGCCCAUUUCUGGGAUAAAUAGGUAUAAUUCAUAUUGCCAGCUGCUGGGGACUACUGUACUUGCCGAUAAAUGAGUAUCAGGAAUAGCUGAAUGAAGAGAUGUUUGAAUUGAAAAGAGAAAGUUUAAAAUUAGCUAACAAGAUGAAUGCUAUCAGAUCAAAACUAAUUUCUACCCAGAUGCAUUGAGGACACAGCUGCUGGAGUGUGUGACACGAGAGUGAAAGUCAAGGAAUGUUUACUUGAUAGCAUGAAAUGUAGAAGGAAUUUACAAAUUACAUUAACUGAAAUAAUGUCGCAUGAAUGCUUUUUUUAGAGAUUGUGAGAUGAUCGGGAAGAAAUGGAAUAAAUAUUUCAUAAAUAAACCCCAUAAAUUUUCAGCCACAGAAGAGAGAUCAUAGAGAGUUUUGUGACUGACAGGCUUGGCCUCCAUUUGGUGGUGAGCUACAAAGUCACAGAAUCUCAUAGAAGAGUUUUACUUUUCAUGUGGAUCCAACAAUACAUAGAAAUUAAUUAACAUUGAAACUGAGUAUGAAUUAUGAGUUUGAUCUUUCUAGGGAGCCUGCCCUUGAGAUGGAAGAGAUUGAGAGAAAAAUACAUUUAGAAUUAAGCAGUAUAAAAUGGAUCAUGCAAAAAGUAUGGUGACUUCUUGGAUGAAAUUAUUACUUCUAGAAAUGGAAUAAUGCAGAAAUGAAGUACCCCCUGGUAGUGUAGGAAUCUAGGGCUGAGUUGACUGUAGAACUUGUAUAACCUCUGCAGAACUCUCUAUUAUGUCUAAUUCCUAUUGACUGUCAUUUGGAAGAUCAUGAAAAUGAUUUGUUUCAAAUAAUAGACCUUUUGAUGGUGGUAUGUCAGGAAGUCCUGUAGAAUUCCUACUAAGCAGAGUUUAAUCCUGACAGCAGGAAAAAUGAUGUAGGCCAAAAGAUUAUAUAGAUACAGCAUAAAUAUGGUACAGCCUUGCUGGAUCCCACAAGAGAUGGUUCCUGCAUCAUGAAGCAGGAUAUCCUUGUCAAGAUGGGCUAAUGAGCCUCACAUUUAAAGAGUUUAGGAAGAAAAUAAUGUUCUUUUGGGUUUUGUAUGUGAGAAUAGGCAUAUUUCUAAAGGGCUGGAGAUAAUAAUGAAUUUAGUAAGGUCUGAGGAAUCUGGGCUGCUGCUUUUAUUAUUUAUCAACUAACUAUAUGACAUAUUUGAGAAAAGGGUAUAUAUUUGACAAGUUAUGAAACAAGUGAAAAUAAGUUGCUAUCUCUUUUUAUUAUUAUUUCAUUACUGUUGAAAAGCUCAAAUCACAAGCCAGCUACUGGCCAAAACAAAAAGUAAUUUUUUUCAAAGACCUUAUCUGAUAAUCA